CUGCUCCAUGUGUAGCUGGACACCUUGUGAAGGCAUUUGAACAUGCUCCAGUAGCAGCUCUACUUGUUUGUAUCGGUGGGACGGAAGCCUUGGAGGUGUUUAUGAUAUUGGAAAGUCACCAGGAAGCCAACAUAUUGCUUUUGAUAAGAUGGAGAUGAGGCAUUUUGUAGUGAAUCGAGUUAGAUUGUGGAAGCAAACAUAUGGCUUGUGCCUACCAUUUAACCUAGCUAGGUUGUGUCAGAUGAUGGAACUGUCAUGGAUUAGAAUCUUAGAUGAUUGAACUUGAUGUGUAUUGCUAAAUGUUGGCUUUCAUGAAACUUGAGAUAUUGUUAUCUAA